AAAAUACAAAAUAAAAGCUUAAUGGCCCUUGUUAAUGUUAUCAACAGACUUAGUGAUAGUGGUGUUAGGAAAAGAGGACAUAUUCCUUACCGGGAUAGCAAGCUCACCGCAAUUCUUCAGCCUGCUCUUGGUGGCAAUGCAAAGACUUCCAUUAUCUGUACUGUUGCACUUGAAGAGGUUCAUGUUGAUGAAACAAGGGGGACUUUGCAGUCGCUGGUAGAGCUAAGCGCAUCACAAAUUGUGUUCAAGUGAAUGAGG